rnacentral:rRNA from 1 species
GACGAACCGUGCGAACGUUGUUCGGAAUCACUGGGCUUAAAGGGCGCGUAGGCGGGCAGACAAGUCAGGGGUGAAAUCUUUCGGCUUAACCGGAAAACAGCUUCUGAUACUGUCUGUCUCGAGGGAGGUAGGGGCAUGCGGAACUUCCGGUGGAGCGGUGAAAUGCGUUGAUAUCGGAAGGAACUCCGGUGGCGAAAGCGGCGUGCUGGACCUCUUCUGACGCUGAGGCGCGAAAGCUAGGGGAGCAAACGGG